rnacentral:misc_RNA from 1 species
CCAAACAUUUUUAUCCUACCAUUGAUACAUUUACAAUGUGAUUUUAUAGAUGUCAGUGUUAUUGAAUUUUGUAAAUAUUGUUCUAACAAUACUAUAUUGAGAAUCACAUCGAGCAUCAGGUGCCAUAUCUACAGUAUUACAUUGUUAUGCAGUCUGAGUAUUCACAUGUACGUUUGUAUACUGUUAUGCCUUCUAUGGUUUGUUGAUUAUAGUUCAGACUCAGUUUGUUAUCAAUACAUAUGUCUCAGCAUUAUUUUUGUAUGCUUGUGUUAGGUAGCAUAACAACAGUGCAACUGUUAUGUGUGUGUGCGUUGUCAACCAGACAUCUCCAUUUUAUCACGUUUGGUGCAUGUACAAUGGUACACAGUUGUUGUAUGACCACUUAUUAUGUUAUUGUGGAGUGAAAUAAGUAAUUUCACAUCCUGAUCUUUUAUGAAAUAAACAAUAAAUUAUUCCA